rnacentral:rRNA from 3 species
GUACGGCCGCAAGGUUAAAACUCAAAUGAAUUGACGGGGGCCCGCACAAGCGGUGGAGCAUGUGGUUUAAUUCGAUGCAACGCGAAGAACCUUACCUGGUCUUGACAUCCACGGAAGUUUUCAGAGAUGAGAAUGUGCCUUCGGGAACCGUGAGACAGGUGCUGCAUGGCUGUCGUCAGCUCGUGUUGUGAAAUGUUGGGUUAAGUCCCGCAACGAGCGCAACCCUUAUCCUUUGUUGCCAGCGGUCCGGCCGGGAACUCAAAGGAGACUGCCAGUGAUAAACUGGAGGAAGGUGGGGAUGACGUCAAGUCAUCAUGGCCCUUACGACCAGGGCUACACACGUGCUACAAUGGCGCAUACAAAGAGAAGCGACCUCGCGAGAGCAAGCGGACCUCAUAAAGUGCGUCGUAGUCCGGAUUGGAGUCUGCAACUCGACUCCAUGAAGUCGGAAUCGCUAGUAAUCGUGGAUCAGAAUGCCACGGUGAAUACGUUCCCGGGCCUUGUACACACCGCCCGUCACACCAUGGGAGUGGGUUGCAAAAGAAGUAGGUAGCUUAACCUUCGGGAGGGCGCUUACCACUUUGUGAUUCAUGACUGGGGUGAAGUCGUAACAAGGUAACCGUAGGGGAACCUGCGGUUGGAUCACCUCCUU